UCGGAGACGGUGCUCGUGCGGGCGGUGAUGCGACACGCGUAUCCGAAAGACUCUCGGCAACGGAUAUCUCGGCUCUUGCAUCGAUGAAGAACGUAGCGAAAUGCGAUACUUGGUGUGAAUUGCAGAAUCCCGUGAACCAUCGAGUCUUUGAACGCAAGUUGCGCCCGAAGCCAUUAGGCUGAGGGCACGCCUGCCUGGGUGUCGCCCAUCGUUGCCCCAUUGCUUUGGCCUCUUGCUAGGCACCGAGCUGGGCGAAUGCUGGCUUCCCGCGAGCAACGCCUCACGGUUGGUUGAAAAUUGAGUCCGUGGUGGAGGGCGCCGUGACGGAUGGUGGUUGUU
rnacentral:rRNA from 1 species